GGCUCAGAUUGAACGCUGGCGGAAUGCUUUACACAUGCAAGUCGAACGGUAGAGGGGGCAACCCUUGAGAGUGGCGAACGGGUGAGUAAUAUAUCGGAACGUGCCCAGUCGUGGGGGAUAACGUAGCGAAAGUUACGCUAAUACCGCAUACGAUCUACGGAUGAAAGCGGGGGACUCGCAAGAGCCUCGCGCGAUUGGAGCGGCCGAUAUCAGAUUAGGUAGUUGGUGAGGUAAAGGCUCACCAAGCCGACGAUCUGUAGCUGGUCUGAGAGGACGACCAGCCACACUGGGACUGAGACACGGCCCAGACUCCUACGGGAGGCAGCAGUGGGGAAUUUUGGACAAUGGGCGCAAGCCUGAUCCAGCAAUGCCGCGUGCAGGAUGAAGGCCUUCGGGUUGUAAACUGCUUUGUACGGAACGAAACGGUGAGCUCUAAUACAGUUUGCUAAUGACGGUACCGUAAGAAUAAGCACCGGCUAACUACGUG
rnacentral:rRNA from 1 species